UGGCUGCAGUGGGGAAUAUUGCGCAAUGGGCGAAAGCCUGACGCAGCGACGUCGCGUGAGGGAAGAAGGCUCUCGGGUCGUAAACCUCUGUCAGGGGGGAAGAAACCCUUGGACUCGAAUAGGGUCCUUGGCUGACGGUACCCCCAAAGGAAGCACCGGCUAAUUCAGUGCCAGCAGCCGCGGUAAUACUGAAGGUGCGAGCGUUAAUCGGAAUCACUGGGCGUAAAGCGUGCGUAGGCGGCGCGGUCAGUCAGGUGUGAAAGCCCUCGGCUCAACCGAGGAAUUGCACUUGAAACUGCCGUGCUUGAGUCCCGGAGAGGUUGGCGGAAUUCCCGGUGUAGGAGUGAAAUCCGUAGAUAUCGGGAGGAACACCAGUGGCGAAGGCGGCCACCUGGACGAUGACUGACGCUGAGGUACGAAAGCGUGGGUAGCAAACAGGAUUAGAUACCCUAGUAGUC
rnacentral:rRNA from 1 species